UACGUAGGCGGUUAAAUAAGUCAGGUGUAAAAGGCAUUGGCUCAACCAAUGUAAGCACUUGAAACUGUUUGACUUGAGUAUAGGAGAGGUAAGUGGAAUUCCUAGUGUAGCGGUGAAAUGCGUAGAUAUUAGGAGGAACACCAGUGGCGAAGGCGACUUACUGGACUAUUACUGACGCUGAGGUACGAAAGCGUGGGGAGGCAAACAAG
rnacentral:rRNA from 1 species